ACACACACACACACGCAAAUCUUAGGAAAAGGAAUCUGUGAAACUUUAUUAUUGCAUAUGUUUUUGAUCAAGCAAUGCAUUAACUCUCUAAGCAGCAUUAGUGUCCCAUGAGUGUUUCUUCCAGCAGUAUAAUGUCUGCCUAAUGCUAAUUUAAUCAGGAAUGUUGCAAAGCAAGGCAAAGUGAAAUGUUGAAAUACCUCCUGUCCCCACUGUCCCCUAGUGACCACUUUAUUUCAGUAGGAAUAUAUAAAUUCUCUUGAUUUGUCUCCUUUCAGGCUGAUUCGCCAAGUCUACCUGGAAGAAAAGACAGUAUUCCUUGAGCUCCAUGCCCUACUGGCACAGGAUAUAUGCUUAUACCAUUGUUUUUCUGUCAAUCAGCAACUUCUAAAGUGCUUUCUUUUUUUGAGACAGGGUCUCACCCUGUCACCCAGGCUGGAGUGCCAUGGUGUGAUCAUGGCUCACUGUAGUCACUGCAGCCUCCAUAUCUCAGGCGCAAGUGACCCACCUCAGCCACCUGAGCAGCUGUGCCAUCACACCUGGUUAAUUUUUGUAUUUUUUGUAGAGAUGGGGUUUCACCUUGUGGCCCAGGCUUAUCAUAAACUCCUGGGCUCAAGCAAUCUCCCCACCUCAGCCUCCCAAAGUGCAGGGAUUAUAGGCGUGAGCCACUGCACCUGCAGGACUUUCCCUAGUAUACAAGCUACUCUCUCUUGAAAAAAAAUAGCAGGAACCCAUUCCAAUGUGCAAGUUCCCCUAAAGUGCCACGUCAGAAUAACUUUCAUGUUUAAAAACAGCUGUCUUCACACCCAUUGUGAGGCUACAAAAGGAACAUUAAGAUGUCAAGCAAUUUAGAUUCUGUUAUCCAUUUCUCUAUGAAGAGAGAGAUGUGUUAAAAGUCUUUAGCUACUUGAAGGGUUGUCGUGAAAAAUAAGAAUUUUAUUCCAGAGGACAGGAGUUAUACACAGGGAGGUGUAUUAUUUACUUGGUGAUAAAUUUUGUGUAGGCUGUUUAAUAAAUUUAUCUGGUAAUGGAAUAAUCAGGCUUUUUGGUGGAAAGGUACAUGCAGAAGCUAAAUCAUCAUUCUGUUAAUAGUGUUUAAGAAAUUUCUUCAAUCCUGCAGCAGCGUGUCUUUCCAUUCAGCAUGACAGAUGCCUUUGUGUCCUUCGCCAAGGACUUCUGGCAGGUGGAGUGGCCACAGCCAUCUCCAAGCGAUAGCUCCCAUUGAGCCAGUCUAGCUGCUGCUGCAGGUGCAGCAUGCCAGCAAGCAGAUCAACGCAGAUAAGCAAUACAAGGGCAUUAUAGACUGCAUGGUCUGUAUUCCCAAGGCGAAGGGAGUCCUGUCCUGGUGUGGAAACCUGGCCAGUGUCAUCAGAUACUUCCCCACCCCGACUCUCAACUUUGCCUUCAAAGAUAAAUACAAGCAUAUCUUCCUGGGUGGCAUGGACAAGAGGACCCAGUUUGGCUCUACUUUGCAGGGAAUCUGGCAUCAGGUGGUGCUGCUGGGGCCACAUCCUUGUGUUUUGUGUACACUCUUGAUUUUGCCCAUACCCAUCUAGCAGCUGAUGUGGGUAAAGCUAGAGCUGAAAGAGAGUUCCACAGCCUCGGUGACUCUCUGGUUAAGAUCAACAAAUCUGAGGAGAUUAAAAGCCUAUACCAAGGCUUUAAUGUGACUGUGCAGGGUAUUACCAUCUGCCGAGCUGCCUACUUCGGUAUCUACGACACUGCAAAGGGAAUGCUUCUGGAUCCCAAGAACACUCAACAUCAUCAUCAGCUGGAUGAUCACACAGACUGUCACUGCUGUUGCCGGGUUGACUUCCUAUCCAUUUGACACCAUUUGCCGCCACAUGAUGAUGCAGUCAGGGCACAAAGGAACUGACAUCAUGUACACAGGCACGCUUGACUGCUGGAGGAAGAUUGCUUGUGAUGAAGGAGGCAAAGCUUUUUUCAAGGGUGCAUGGUCCAGUGUUCUCAGAGGCAUGGGUGGUGCUUUUGUGCUUGUCUUGUGUGAUGAAAUCAAGAAGUGCAUAUAAGUUAUUUUUUAGGAUUUUUCCCCCUGUGAACAGGCAUUUUCUGUUAUAUAACAUACCUUAAGCAUUCUUGACAGACUCCUGGCUGUCAGUUUAUCAGUGGCAACUAUUUACUUGUUGAAGAUGGGAGGCAAUAACAUUCAUCUGACCAGUUUUCUCUUAAAGUCAUUUCCAUGGUGAUGAUGAUGGCAGCCAAUUACAUUUUUUAUUUUAGUCACUCCUGAUAAUUUGGAGAAAUAAAAAUAUCUAAAAUUAAAAAUUCUUCAUUGAGAUAGAAUAUGGGCAAGAUGACCUUUAAGGUCCUUUUCGGUUUUAUCAUUGGAAAUCCCCAGAAGCAAUCUGAUAGUCUUAAAACUUUGUCCUUUCAAAGUCCUUUAUAUUCAUUUAGAGCUCUUCAGGAAACCAGAGAAUUUUGGGCUUUGGUUGACAAAAGGGUUCUGACCUCUGUUCGUAGCUGGAAACAUGAAACAUGAAAUUCUGGGCUUAAUUCUUCUGAAGAAAUCUUUAAGUGAUUACUAACAUAAAUGACAUUACUAACAAAUUUAAAAGCCCAUGAUGUAUUAAAA